AUUCCACCGCCCCUGUCUUUUCUCCUCCCUUCCCUAAUCUUCCAUGGUCGCCAGAUCCCUCCCUCCACAGCCGGCGCUCCCUGUAAGGCCGCCCGUCCCCUUCGUCACCCACGCCGACGGACGUGCAUGCCCCUGCUCCACCUCACUCCUCCUUCGAAUUCGGCCGUCGAAGUGCUCGAGGAGGCGGUCGAGCUUGGCAUGCUCGCCGGUGACGCCGGCCCCUUACCGCACACGCCGGCUGCCGACCUCUUAGGCGGGCGGCGCACGCCGACCCCAGGAAGAGAGAAGUUCCCGUCCCCAUGGAGAAGCUGUCCACGGAUCCAAAUCUGGAAGCAGAAAGAAAAGAACCUGAUCUUGGAUUUCUUCACUUGCGUUAUUCAGAGUCAUCCUAAUCCACCAUACGUUCCCUUAUUCAACUGGAUGACCGCAGAGACGGGGGAAGGCGGGGUGGUGUUGUGCUGGUGGCCACCGGGAGCUUCAACCUUCCCACCUACAUGCACAGGCAUGUUUGAGGUUGCGAAGGAUGAGUUGCAGCAGCGAGGGUAGUCGGUGCUGGGAUGUUACUGCCUUAAUGGAUACAUGUCCCUGGUGAACCGAUGCUAACAAGAAGAAGGCAAUGCAGAAAGGUCAUCAGCGUACCUUGACCAUUCUCUCAAGAGUUAAGAAUUCUUCUGUGCAAGAACGGCUUAGCUGAUCAAGGAAGUGUCAAGGUAAUGCUGCUAUGUGGUUCUGACCUGCUCGAGUCAUUCAGCAAGCCAGGGGUAUGGAUUCCAGAUCAGGUACAAAACUUGAACACUUUUUGGUACCCAAAGGGGAUGGGAGCAACAAGUCUGAAUCAAAGAUCAAAGGAAGAAGUCGAACCUGAAGAAGUCCUCGGAAGAAUCACAGCUGCGUGUGCCCGGCUGGUUCAGGGGACGCGACAGGCGCUGGCGCCCUGCCCCGGCGGGCGUGUGCGCGGCGGCGUGGGUGCCAGUGCAGGGUGGGCCCGGCGGUGCGGGUGCCGGGGCAGGCUCUCUCCUGGGCACUGGCGAUCUCGCAGGAUGGAUGCCACGCUGCGAGCGGCAACAAUCGGCGAUGGCGAUCGUGCAUGGAGGUGACGGGACGGUGCAGUGCGGCGUGGUCGCCGUGCAGGCAGGAGACGAUAUUGGUGUGCGGCGUAUGUGCCAGGCGGCGAGGUCAAGGUCAAGGGCGUGAAGUUCCCUUAGCUUGCGAUUUGAUUUUCCGUGAUUGUAGGGGACACUGGGCUGGUUGUUAGCUUGCGAUCUGAUUUUCCGUGAUUGUAGGGGACGCUGGGCUGGUUGUUAGUUUGCGAUCUGAUUCCGUGAUUGUAGGGGACGCGCGGGGCUGGUUGUUCGACUACUACUCUCCUGGUGAAGUAUGGUCAGUCAUUGGUAAAUGCUAAGUGCACAGCGUAGAGGUAUUGGAUUAAUGAUGGCUGUUAGAUUGAGACUUGUUGGCCUAAUCGUGUGGUACUGAUUGGCUUGGGCUUAUUGUGGGACUAAUUGCAGGGUGCACGUAAGAAAGUUCUUGUUUGAUUGUUUAAUAGUAGUAGAGAUAGAGACUACAUGGCUGACUUGACCAAACCCGCUCUUGCAAGACUUCAAUUUACCGCAACCUGGUAAAUGAUGAGUAUAAUGAAUGAUGCGCUCAGCA